rnacentral:rRNA from 1 species
UACAGAGGGGGCAAGCGUUGUUCGGAAUUACUGGGCGUAAAGGGCGCGUAGGCGGCCUCUUAAGUCGAACGUGAAAUCCCCGGGCUCAACCCGGGAACUGCGUCCGAUACUGGGAGGCUUGAAUCCGGGAGAGGGAUGUGGAAUUCCAGGUGUAGCGGUGAAAUGCGCAGAUAUCAGGAGGAACACCAGCGGCGAAGGCGGCGCUCUGGGCCGGUACUGACACUGAGGAGCGAAAGCGUGGGUAGCAAACAGG